rnacentral:misc_RNA from 1 species
AUACCUCAAGCUCUGCUUGGUGUUGACAGCGCAAUGCGCUGCCGAAACGCAGCGGCGACGUAGCCGGCCCCUGGCGCAGUGACUUGCUCGCCCGGUGUCGGUCGUGCGUUUGCCGGACAACGCCCCUAUUCU